rnacentral:lncRNA from 1 species
CGAGCUCCCAUACACAUAUACACUCAUGCACACUCACACAACAUGACGACCUCACCCCUUCCCCAUAUCCUUUGCGAGUCCCACAAACCCAGGAUCGAUGGAGGAACCCCUCCCUCCCGUCACUGUGCAACCUUCCCCGACAUGUUCUGUCGUCUACGGCCAAGGGUAAGACUCUAAAACCUUGUGGGGUGUGUUUUAAGGUUAGUUAGGGUAGGUUUGAUGUUUGUGUACAUUGGUUGGACGUAGAACAACUCGGGGAGGUGUUUUUCCAGUUUUACCGGUGAGUCCGGUGAUUUCCAGCUAAUUUCUGGCUAAACCACGGUGAGUUGGCCAUCGUGCAAGGUAUCAAUAUUUUUGUCUCGCUGAAUACUACAACUUUCCUUUUGGUUUCACCCAAUUUCGCUGAGUAUUGAAGAAGUUAUAUUCAUUUGAAUCUUACCUAGUUUCCGGUGACCUCUGCGGAUUUCGAGCUUUUUCCGACCAAACCACGGCGGGUUAGACGUCAUGCAAGGUACCAUUCUCUUCCUCUCGUCAAGAACUAUGAUUUUCAUUUUUGAAUCACUUGAUUUCAUUAAGUAUUGACAAAGUUAUGAACGUUUAAAUUUUGUCUAAUUUUCCAGCCGAAAUAUGACCUUCUUGGAGUCCGACGACCCACAAGUUAAACGGGUCAAACCCGACUCAGAAUCAGAAACCUAGCCUAAACCUUGGGCCCUUGUGACCCAAGCCCAAACCCAAAACCUUUUUAAACCCAAACCUAAAUCUGAAUUUAGGCCCAACCCUUUUAGCCUAAACCCCUAACCCUUUGUCACUUAGGCCUUUGGGCCAUUUAGAACUCGGGCCUUAGGCCCGUGACCCCCAAAGCCCAAACCCCUUUUAUUUAUUUAUUUGUUUUAUUUGUUUGAAACUAAACCUAAACUCUUAAAGUCCAACCCUUUUAAUAUAGGACCUUCGGCCCACUAAACCCUUUAACCUUUCAAACCCUAAACCCUAACAGGCCAAAACCCUUGAUGGGGAAUAUUUCAUUAAGGAAUAUUCUUUGGAAUAUUCAUUGUGUUGACUUUUAUGAAAUUUACCUGGGACCAUUCUUAGGGUAAUUCGACAUCCUAAAUCCGUUUUCCCAAAUUCAAUUGUUAUAAUAUAGUUUUAUUAAUUGGUCUCUUUAUAUGUUUAGGUGCAUAUAUUGUGACGAUUUCGUCUUCGCUAGUUUGUGUGGCUCUUUGACAACAAAGUAUAUGUGAGUGGGCCCCUUCUAAAAUGCAUGUUUUAAUAGUAGAAAUGCAUACAUGAAAAACAUGAUUUAAUGAUUACGUUUUAUGAGAAAUUUAUUAUCAUGCUAUACUGAGCUUAUUUUGGAAUACCAUAUUUUCUAUCGAACCCAGGUUCUUGUAGGAUAUCUGAUGGAUGACGAUAUACUAUUUAGAACAUGUUUUUAUAACACUUCUUUAUAGUAUAGAUGAUGGAUGACUUUAUACUAUGAAGAUGUUUUUGUGUGAGAGAGAGAGUGAGAGAGAGAGAUAUAUAUACACACACACACACACACAUACACCUAUGUUUGGAAAGACUAUGUUCAAUGGUCUUGUGCGUGUCUAGUGAUCACUAUAUAUAUGUCUUCGGGUGAGUGUUGUAAGAGCCUUCAGGCGAUUGAUAUAUAUAUAUGCCUUCAGGUGGGUGUUGUAGGAGCAUUCGGGCCAAUGAUACUAUAUAUGCCUUUGGGUGGGUGUUGUAGGAGCCUUCAGACGAUUGAUACUAUAU